rnacentral:snRNA from 1 species
AGCUGCGAGGAUGACCUGGCUGCACAUUGUUGUCACUCUGUCCAUUGCCAAGGUGGUUUGGCUGACCUGGCUGGCUAGGCGAGUGUACCCUUCCUCAUUGUGUCAACCUUCCUCCAACUGAAGAGGGUGGCCUUCAGUUCCCCUGCUAGAACCCCAGACAAGUGCUCAAGAUUCAGCACUAGGGUUUACCUAAGAGAAUCAUAUUUAUUUUAAAUAGCAUUCAUCUUUAUUUCUCAAAUUAUGUGUU